UUGCACCUACCAAUUAUAUCGGAAGAUUUUGAAGUCAUAGUUUUCCUAUCGUAGUGUGCAAUAAAAACCGUUCUACUGCCACACGGGUACUGGCCUUGAAGCUGUAUCGGUUCCAAAGUUGUUCGAACAAUU
ensembl:snoRNA F54E7.10 ncRNA